ACACCCAAUGUGGGGUUUGAACUCAUGACCCUGAGAUUAAGAACUGUAUGCUUUUUCAACUGAGCCAGCCAGGUUUACUUUACUGUUUCUUCCUUUACUGUUUCUAUUAUAUAUAAAUUUUAUAAUACUAUGUGUCAGCAAACUAUAGCCCAUGAGUCAAAUCUUACCUGCUGCCUGUUUUUGUACAGCUACAAACUGAGAAUUGUGUUUACAUUAUUAAAUAGUUUUUUUAAAGGAAGAAUAUUUAUCACACAUGAAAACUAAGUUAAAUUCUAACUGUAGUAUCCACAAAUAAAGUUUUAUUAGAACACAAUGCCCAUUUCUUUAGGUAUUGUCUAUGGCUAUUUCAUACUACAAUAGCAGAACUGAGUAGUUGACCCAGAAUGAUAUGACAGGCAAGUCCUAAAAUAUUUACUAUCUGGCCCUUUACAGAGAAGGUCCUGAAAACUCUGCUAUAAAGCUCAUAAGUGUAUUGUAACACCUAGAAAUAAAAUUAUAUCAUAAAAUAUUAACAUUUAAAAAGCUAUAGGAGUUACUAGCUUAUUUUAGUAGAUGUCUAUACACUAGAAAUUUGAUUUUACAAGUUUUUAUGCUAAAGACUGAAUGAAAUAUUCCAUGUGUAUGGAUUUUUUGAGGAUGCAAGGAAUCAUUUAAGAGACAUUUUCUUAUUAUGGCAUGAAGUAAAGUCUAUAAUUGAGACAACAAAAUGUUUAUACAUGAUUAUCAACUUGUAUUUAUCUCAAUAAAUUCCUUCUUUUCAUAUAAUUAUCAAAUGUUUUGGAUUGACAAUAUAUUAUUGAUCAAAUGAUUUGAGGUUAUUUAGAUGGUAGCAUUAAAAAUAUUAUGUCAAAAAAUAUUACCUGAUUUUCACAGUAGAUGCCAGCAAGGGGAUUAGUGGCUGGAAAAUAUAGGCAAGGAAAAUUGCUUUUCCUCUAUUCUCUAAAGUUUGGUGCCUGGAGCCCUGCAAAUUGAAAUGACCAAAGAUGGUUAAAUAGGAGAAGGUUUCUUUUACAUGGAGAGCCCUUACAAAAAUGAAGUGAGGAGAUCAGACCCAAAGGCUUAUAUAUCAUUUUAUCAAAGAACAAUACAUUUGUGGAGAAGGGACAAGACAAAGGAGAAAAGAGAUUUGAAUUUCUAGAAAGAUGGAAGAUAAUGGUAUUUUGCAAAAUUUGUCAUGCAGAUUCCUCAGGUAUUUAUCCAGUCUCUGGUCUGGUAAGAGUUGAGCUGUCUCCAAGGAUUAAGAAUCCCAAGGAUUAAGAGUUGUUUUCCCUUUCCAGUACAGAAGGAGACAUCUUUAUGGAUGGCAAAGUUUGUCCUGCUUUUAGCUAGAUGGUGGAGGGCAGAGAGUUUUUUUCCCCCCAUGACCAUAGUUUCUUAUUGCCUUCAAUUCAGAAUGAUGGUCAUGCCACAUUUUGGGGUGGCAUAUUCUGGUCCUCUUCAAUAAUGAGUGGCUGCUCAAGGUAGGAUUAUCUCAGUAAAUUUCACAGUCUGGAUCUGGUGUCCCCUCUACCCCACCUCAGCCCUCUUCAGAGAACACACACAUUUCUUCUCCACAGAUGCUGCUUGUUUUUCUAUCUCAUCAUAUGUCAUUUCUAUUAAUCUCUCUAUGGAAGGUUGGACAGGAAAUUUCGUCUACUCAAGCACCACUACUGAGGGCUUCAGUAUCCUUCAACCACAAUUUAGUUUACUUUUUAAUUUACUUUGGGCCUAUUUAUUAUACAUUUUUUCAAUUUUUUACUCUUAAAAUGGUUUGUGUUCUUAAAGCCAAAGAACCACAUCCUAAUUUGAUUCUACUCAUUUAUUCAUUCAACACAUGUUUUUGAGUCCCUAUUAUGUACCAGGCACUGUUUCAGGUAUUGGGGGAUACUGUAAUGUAGAAAAGCGGAAAACACUCUGCCUUAAUAUCCUAAUGGAGAGUAGACAAUAAACAAGAUAAAUAGGUAAAAUAUGUAAUAUUAGAAUGACAAAUGGUAAAAAUGACUGUAGGAGUAGAUGGUUAAUUGUAGAAAACCAGAGAGUGAUUGAUGCAAAUAAUCCCUAAGUGAUUGCAAUGCAAAUAACCUUGUCCCCUAGAGAUGCAAAUGAUUUAUGUCUGGUAGAAGAGAUUACAACUCAAAGAUUAGAUUUAUUGCCCUGUGAGGUGUUAAUCGGUUUUUAUGUAAUUUAGUAACCUUAUUCCGGCAUUUUUUCCCUCAGUGACUAGAAAUAUUUUGUCCUAUGCCCUGUGGCUUAUCACCUUUCUCACUCUCUCAUUAACAAGAUAAACAGCUCUUUGACUCUCUAUCUGUAUUCUGAGCAUCACAGUUUUUAACUUCCUGAAAAUUCUAUAUCAUCAAAAAAAAUUGAUAUAUUUAGCUCUGAUUUGCCAACCAUCUUUUUAAUGAGCAAACAAAAAAUUAAAAAAUACAUAUAUUUCAAAAUAUAUAUGUUAAAAAAUAAAACUAGAAACAAAUCUUGUGGGCUGAUUUUUAAUAUUCUAAUGUUGAUGGAAUAUUAAGCAUUUAAAAUGGAGACCAUGAAGACCAUACAGUUAUAAGGGAUGAAAGGUUAUGAGAAUGUUUUAAAAACAUUUAUAUAGUUUUCGGGGCACCUGGAUGGCUCAGCUGGUUAAGCAUCUCAGCUCAGGUCAUGGUCUCAGGGAUCAAACCCUGCCUCAAGCUCACGUUGGGCUCCACGCUCCGCAGGGAGUCUGGUUGUCCCCCUCCUUUUGACUUCAUGCUCUCUCUGUUCCUUUCUCAAGUAAAUAAAUAACAAAUAAAAUCUUUAAAAAAUAUAUAGAAUGUUAAAAGAUAAACUGAGGCAUAUUAAACUUUUUGAGUUUUAUUUAAGCAAAAAUCCACUUCAAACUUGGCAAUGUCAAAUGAGGAGUGGUUAGUGGCACUCCACCAUCAGGAGCUGGGGGACAAGACUUGUAGAGAAGGUGCAGGAGCAAAGCAAGGAAAUUAUUUGAUUGGCUACAGACUAAGUAUUUGCCCUAUUUGGAAAAGGCUACUUGGUUGCUUGUGAUUGGUUGUUCUUAGGUUUUGAUUUCUUAGUCUUGAAGCAUUUUAGGCUUAGGUUUUGAUUUUCUUGGGUAGGCUGCUGAGGCAUUAAAGCCACCUCAUCAAUGUUUAAUUAAUUUAGCAAUAGGUAAAUAAAUAAAACAUUUGAACUUGUAGAAUAAUAUUGCUUACUCUAAUAGUGUUUUGUAUCAGUCCACUAGCCAUUCAAGUAUUUGAAAUUAUUAAUAGUUCAGGCUCUGGAGUUAGACUGCCUGCCUGCCUUCAAAUCUUGGCUCAACCACUUCUUGGUUUGGAAAAGUUAUUUCAUCUCUGUCUCAUAGGAAUAUUGUGAGGAAUAAAUGAAAUAACAUAGGAAGUUCUCAACAGUGUUAGUAAAUUCUUGUUACCUGUGAGCUUUCUGUGGAGUUACUUUGUCCUUGCAAUGAAACGUCAGGCUGUACGAAGUAAUGUAGAGCAAGCAAGUACCCUUUGCAACUUAAAUCGUCAUGUAAAUUACUUUAAAAACAAUACAGGAUGUUUGCAACGUUUACUAGAAUGAUGUUUCUCACUAUUGGAAAAUUCUACUUAGCAGAGCUUUUUUCAAAUCAAAAUGGAUUCUUACCCACCAAAAUAGCCCCAUAUUUUAUCUUUAUUCUAUAGUAUAAUGGAACAGUUUACAACUUUAGUUUUUAGUCAAACCUAGGUCACAACAAACAGUGCUUUUUUUUUUUUUUUUUUUGCAAGAACAAGAAACUUCCUAAACUAACUGUUACUCAAAGAAACGACCUGGGAAACAUUUCUUCAGAGGAUUUAUGAGUAAACCUACUUCUGCCAAACGUUAGCAGUUAAUAAUUUCCCAAACAACAGAAAAAAAUACCCUUCCCCCCAAAAGAAAUACAAUAAAAUGAAAACAAAAAUAGAUAC
rnacentral:lncRNA from 1 species